rnacentral:lncRNA from 10 species
GCGGGGCCUUGCGUCUUGACGGCUGCUCCCCUCCUUUCCUCCCGCCACAAGCGCUCGCUGUGGUUCUGGCAGCGAAGUGCGAGACUGGGCUCGCCAGGCGGAAGUGGUUGGAGACUGCGUGUUUUCCUAGAAAGUCCUCGACCUUCGUCGGGGAGAGGAGGGGAGUGAUAAAUUGGAAGGCGGACAAGCGACAAGUGCGGUACUGGAAAGACCCAAACAUACUUGGUUGUGACCUCAGGACUCAAUAAAAUAAACAGCUGGAAAUAAGCAGACUAGUGUAAGAGUGAAUUGAAAAGAAAACCCAAGGUCACAUCUCCCAAGAAGCAGUAAUGUUCCAGCAAUAAGAAAAGGACAGUUUUUUGUCUUUUGCAUGGUGAGCCUUAUAUGAAUUACAUCAAUUUUGUCACCAAUAUCCAUCAUCAGAACAUUUUGAUUCUACAUAACACAUUGCAAAUGGUCACAACAAUCAAGACUAUAUCCAUAGAUGUCCCAGAAAUAAUAUCUGACUAUACAGAGCAGCAUUACCAAGCCACCAAGAAGUCUGCCUAGUAAUGACAAUGAUAACAACAGCUAACACUUAGGAUUUGAUUUAGGACAAAUUGUUAUUUGGAUGGAUGCUUGUCUAUUGAGAGAGUAAUUGUUAAACUAAAGGAAACUGGUCACAAAUACUUUAGCAGUGGCUAUAAAUGACCAGUGGGCCAAGGAUUUUGAGAUCGUGAGAGACUUCUCCGGGAAUGUUGUCAUUCAUUUCACUCCAGUGUGGCUCUUUUCCUCCAUCUGCGCUCACUUUUCUAGGAGAACUAUGGCCACUAUGGAGAAUAUGAAAACAUUGCUGAAGGAGGUGAAAGCCAUUUCAGAAGAAGAGUUAUAUAUUAGCUUUUGGCAGUGACAGCGUUAUGGGCACGGACAUUCAGCCUUUCCAGUUGACUGCUUUGAAGGGGCAAUGUUCACGUGGAAGUAUACCUCCUAGUACGUUUGCUAAAAUAAAAUCAGCUUCAUUACCUAAUAACAUAAAUGACUUUGGGAGAAAACUCUGAGUCUCAUGUUUUAUUUUUCCUGAUAAUGCUGUUCAAUUAGGGCAGACUUUGUGGAAAUUCUGAUUUCAUUACCCAUCACUGCUGCAUGAAAAUACGCUUUCUGAAGUCACGCUCUGAAAGAAACUAAGUUGUUUGCUACAACUACCCCUACACAGAAAUUAGAAAAUUAUAUGAGAAGAAGUUUACUUCAGCCUGCAGUUGGGACACAGGUUAUUACUGAAAGUAGUCGUCGGCAUGGUUUCUGGUUUCACAGUAAAAGAAGACGACUUGAAAGGACUCAGUGGUUUUGAUGCUCUUCUGAAAUGAAAACACUCAGUGAGCACAUAGCAUUGGGUUGUCAUUAAUGUCAGCCAAGCGAAAACACUGUCUCCAUGAACACUGCAGUCAUUUCCCCGCCGAGACCAUGACUUUCCACUCCCUGGCAUUUCGGGCACUGUGCUAGUACUUUUCCAAAAGAGACUCUUAAGGCAAUUCAUUCUAGAUAAUCAAACACACACAACAGUCUUAAAUGAAUAGGUGGCCUGAAUUUGCUAAAGUCAGCCAACAAUUUCCAGGGGAGAAUGUGUUAUUUUCUGAGAAAUACUGUAAGGC